rnacentral:rRNA from 1 species
UGCGUAGGUGGUUUCUUAAGUCAGAGGUGAAAGGCUACGGCUCAACCGUAGUAAGCCUUUGAAACUGAGAAACUUGAGUGCAGGAGAGGAGAGUAGAAUUCCUAGUGUAGCGGUGAAAUGCGUAGAUAUUAGGAGGAAUACCAGUUGCGAAGGCGGCUCUCUGGACUGUAACUGACACUGAGGCACGAAAGCGUGGGGAGCAAACAG